UCGUGAGGCAUGCUGGAGGUAUCAGAAGUGCGAAUGCUGACAUAAGUAACGAUAAAGCGGGUGAAAAGCCCGCUCGCCGGAAGACCAAGGGUUCCUGUCCAACGUUAAUCGGGGCAGGGUGAGUCGACCCCUAAGGCGAGGCCGAAAGGCGUAGUCGAUGGGAAACGGGUUAAUAUUCCCGUACUUGGUGUUACUGCGAAGGGGGGACGGAGAAGGCUAUGUUGGCCGGGCGACGGUUGUCCCGGUUUAAGCGUGUAGGUGUGUGUUCCAGGUAAAUCCGGUUCACUUUAACACUGAGGCGUGACGACGAGGCACUACGGUGCUGAAGCAACAAAUGCCCUGCUUCCAGGAAAAGCCUCUAAGCAUCAGGUAACAUCAAAUCGUACCCCAAACCGACACAGGUGGUCAGGUAGAGAAUACCAAGGCGCUUGAGAGAACUCGGGUGAAGGAACUAGGCAAAAUGGUGCCGUAACUUCGGGAGAAGGCACGCUGACACGUAGGUGAAGUGAUUUACUCAUGGAGCUGAAGUCAGUCGAAGAUACCAGCUGGCUGCAACUGUUUAUUAAAAACACAGCACUGUGCAAACACGAAAGUGGACGUAUACGGUGUGACGCCUGCCCGGUGCCGGAAGGUUAAUUGAUGGGGUCAGCGCAAGCGAAGCUCCUGAUCGAAGCCCCGGUAAACGGCGGCCGUAACUAUAACGGUCCUAAGGUAGCGAAAUUCCUUGUCGGGUAAGUUCCGACCUGCACGAAUGGCGUAAUGAUGGCCAGGCUGUCUCCACCCGAGACUCAGUGAAAUUGAACUCGCUGUGAAGAUGCAGUGUACCCGCGGCAAGACGGAAAGACCCCGUGAACCUUUACUAUAGCUUGACACUGAACAUUGAGCCUUGAUGUGUAGGAUAGGUGGGAGGCUUUGAAGUGUGGACGCCAGUCUGCAUGGAGCCGACCUUGAAAUACCACCCUUUAAUGUUUGAUGUUCUAACGUGGACCCGUGAUCCGGGUUGCGGACAGUGUCUGGUGGGUAGUUUGACUGGGGCGGUCUCCUCCUAAAGAGUAACGGAGGAGCACGAAGGUUGGCUAAUCCUGGUCGGACAUCAGGAGGUUAGUGCAAUGGCAUAAGCCAGCUUGACUGCGAGCGUGACGGCGCGAGCAGGUGCGAAAGCAGGUCAUAGUGAUCCGGUGGUUCUGAAUGGAAGGGCCAUCGCUCAACGGAUAAAAGGUACUCCGGGGAUAACAGGCUGAUACCGCCCAAGAGUUCAUAUCGACGGCGGUGUUUGGCACCUCGAUGUCGGCUCAUCACAUCCUGGGGCUGAAGUAGGUCCCAAGGGUAUGGCUGUUCGCCAUUUAAAGUGGUACGCGAGCUGGGUUUAGAACGUCGUGAGACAGUUCGGUCCCUAUCUGCCGUGGGCGCUGGAGAACUGAGGGGGGCUGCUCCUAGUACGAGAGGACCGGAGUGGACGCAUCACUGGUGUUCGGGUUGUCAUGCCAAUGGCACUGCCCGGUAGCUAAAUGCGGAAGAGAUAAGUGCUGAAAGCAUCUAAGCACGAAACUUGCCCCGAG
rnacentral:rRNA from 1 species